rnacentral:rRNA from 1 species
GAUGAACGCUAGCGGCAGGCUUAACACAUGCAAGUCGAGGGGUAUGCUUCUUCGGAAGCAGAGACCGGCGCACGGGUGCGUAACGCGUAUGCAAUCUACCUUUUACAGAGGGAUAGCCCAGAGAAAUUUGGAUUAAUACCUCAUAGUAUUAUAGAAUGGCAUCAUUUUAUAAUUAAAGUCACAACGGUAAAAGAUGAGCAUGCGUCCCAUUAGCUAGUUGGAAGGUAACGGCUUACCAAGGCUACGAUGGGUAGGGGUCCUGAGAGGGAGAUCCCCCACACUGGUACUGAGACACGGACCAGACUCCUACGGGAGGCAGCAGUGAGGAAUAUUGGACAAUGGGCGCAAGCCUGAUCCAGCCAUGCCGCGUGCAGGAUGACGGUCCUAUGGAUUGU